rnacentral:rRNA from 1 species
GUCGGGAAUUUUGCGCAAUGGACGAAAGUCUGACGCAGCAACGCCGCGUGAGGGAUGACGGCCUUCGGGUUGUAAACCUCUUUUGUCAGGGACGAUGAUGACGGUACCUGACGAAUAAGCCACGGCUAACUACGUGCCAGCAGCCGCGGUAAUACGUAGGUGGCAAGCGUUGUCCGGAUUUACUGGGCGUAAAGAGCGCGCAGGCGGUCGUUCAAGUCGCGUGUGAAAGCCCCCGGCUCAACUGGGGAGGGUCACGCGAUACUGAUCGACUCGAAGGCAGGAGAGGGUAGUGGAAUUCCCGGUGUAGUGGUGAAAUGCGUAGAUAUCGGGAGGAACACCAGUGGCGAAGGCGACUACCUGGCCUGUUCUUGACGCUGAGGCGCGAAAGCUAGGGGAGCAAACGGGAUUAGAAACCCGAGUAGUCC